UACGGAGGGGGCAAGCGUUGUUCGGAAUUACUGGGCGUAAAGCGCACGUAGGCGGCUAACCAAGUUGGGGGUGAAAGCCCAGGGCUUAACCCUGGAACUGCCUUCAAGACUGGUUGGCUAGAGGCCGAGAGAGGUAAGGGGAAUUCCUAGUGUAGAGGUGAAAUUCGUAGAUAUUAGGAAGAACACCGGUGGCGAAGGCGCCUUACUGGCUCGGAACUGACGCUGAGGUGCGAAAGCGUGGGGAUCAAACAGG
rnacentral:rRNA from 2 species